rnacentral:rRNA from 1 species
AGUCAGCGAUCGGUAGCCGGACUGAGAGGUUGAUCGGCCACAUUGGGACUGAGAUACGGCCCAGACUCCUACGGGGGGCAGCAGUGGGGAAUAUUGCACAAUGGGGGAAACCCUGAUGCAGCAACGCCGCGUGAAGGAUGAAGGUUUUCGGAUUGUAAACUUCUUUGACCGGGGACGAAACAAAUGACGGUACCCGGAAAACAAGCCACGGCUAACUACGUGCCAGCAGCCGCGGUAAUACGUAGGUGGCGAGCGUUGUCCGGAAUUACUGGGUGUAAAGGGCGUGUAGGCGGGCCUGCAAGUCAGAUGUGAAAUUCCGGGGCUUAACCCCGGCGCUGCAUUUGAAACUGCGGGUCUUGAGUAUCGGAGAGGGAAGUGGAAUUCCUAGUGUAGCGGUGAAAUGCGUAGAUAUUAGGAGGAACACCAGUGGCGAAGGCGACUUUCUGGACGAUAACUGACGCUGAGGCGCGAAAGCGUGGGGAGCAAACAGGAUUAGAUA